AGACGGGAGCCAGGAGCCACUCUCCUUUGAAAAGUGCAGCCAGUGCAAGGGUGUCUUGGAAUGGGUCUAAAACGGAGAAUAACAUCCUCGCUAAUUGCUUUAAGCUGUUUUCUGGUUUUAUUUUCAGCGCAGACUUGGCCCCCGGAGCCGGGGCGCGGGGAGCUUAGGCAAGGCGCCGGGCUGCUCCUCCGCCCGGCAGCGCUCCGCCCGCCGCCCGCCCGCGCGGAGAACAACCCAUUGAAACCGCUGAGUGGAUAUUGGAGCUAGUCCAGGCAUAAACCAUCUUAAUGAACGCUAAUCGAGAACUGCAAUUAUUGUUGACUUCAAAAUGCAAACACGGACUUUAGACGGUGAUCCCUCUCAGCCUCUGUGGCCAAGACCCAUGCGGGGCGCUGUUUUUGCGUUGCUUAGCAACGGAAAAUGAACUGUUCCUGCCUCUUAUCACUGGAGGUAGAGGUCAAAAAUAGAAAGAAAAAAUGGCUGCAAACAAAUCAUGGUGAGCAAAGUAUCAAAAUUUUAAAUAAAUUUACAAGACGGAAGGCUUACACAGGUAGCUGCUCCUUCCCUGGGACGGGGUGGGUGCUCAGAAGCAAAGGAGUCUUGGAGCUGAGCAGAGGGAUUUCCGUAUUCUGUGGAAGAAGUCUGGUGAGGUGGCUUCGCGAGCCUCUAUCAUGACAGCGAGGAGGGGGCAAGCCAGAGAGUUUAGUGGAUUGAAGCCCCUUUUUAGGCAAACUCAGGAACUGGGCAUG